GCCUUUGUGGUGUAGUGGUCUGCAUGCUGAACGCGUAAGCCAGAGGUCUGUGGUUCGAAUCCCGGCGAAGGCG
rfam:Stegodyphus mimosarum contig66018, whole genome shotgun sequence.